GCGCCCUCCCGCGGGGGCGGGCACGGGCGGGGUCCGUGCCCGUGCCCGCCCCCGCGGGCGGCCCCGGCCGAACGUCUCGGCCGGGGCGCAC
rnacentral:tRNA from 1 species